CACGUAGGGUGCGAGCGUUGUCCGGAAUUAUUGGGCGUAAAGAGCUCGUAGGCGGUGUGUCGCGUCGGCCGUGAAAACCUGCAGCUUAACUGUGGGCUUGCGGUCGAUACGGGCAUCACUGGAGUUCGGCAGGGGAGACUGGAAUUCCUGGUGUAGCGGUGAAAUGCGCAGAUAUCAGGAGGAACACCAAUGGCGAAGGCAGAUCUCUGGGCCGUAACUGACGCUGAGGAGCGAAAGCAUGGGGAGCGAACAGG
rnacentral:rRNA from 1 species